UGGGGAAUAUUGGACAAUGGGCGAAAGCCUGAUCCAGCCAUGCCGCGUGUGUGAAGAAGGUCUUCGGAUUGUAAAGCACUUUAAGUUGGGAGGAAGGGCAUUAACCUAAUACGUUAGUGUUUUGACGUUACCGACAGAAUAAGCACCGGCUAACUCUGUGCCAGCAGCCGCGGUAAUACAGAGGGUGCAAGCGUUAAUCGGAAUUACUGGGCGUAAAGCGCGCGUAGGUGGUUUGUUAAGUUGGAUAUGAAAUCCCCGGGCUCAACCUGGGAACUGCAUUCAAAACUGACUGACUAGAGUAUGGUAGAGGGUGGUGGAAUUUCCUGUGUAGCGGUGAAAUGCGUAGAUAUAGGAAGGAACACCAGUGGCGAAGGCGACCACCUGGACUAAUACUGACACUGAGGUGCGAAAGCGUGGGGAGCAAACA
rnacentral:rRNA from 1 species